UACGAAGGGGGCUAGCGUUGCUCGGAAUCACUGGGCGUAAAGGGUGCGUAGGCGGGUUCUUAAGUCAGAGGUGAAAUCCUGGAGCUCAACUCCAGAACUGCCUUUGAUACUGAGAGUCUUGAGUUCGGGAGAGGUGAGUGGAACUGCGAGUGUAGAGGUGAAAUUCGUAGAUAUUCGCAAGAACACCAGUGGCGAAGGCGGCUCACUGGCCCGAUACUGACGCUGAGGCACGAAAGCGUGGGUAGCAAACAGG
rnacentral:rRNA from 1 species